UGCUAAUCCCCUACCCCCUCCUUUUCCCUCCCACCCCUUGGCCCUAUCUAGAAUUCAUCUAUUCCUCCCAUGUUCCCCCUCCCUACCCCACUAUGAGUCAGCCUCUUUAUAUAAUAGAAAAUAGUCGGCAUUUGUUUUUGGGGGAUUGGCUAACUUCACUUAGCAUUAUCUUGUCUAAAUCCAUUCAUUUACCUACAAUUGCCAUUUUAUUGCUCAGUAAAAUUCCAUUGUUUAUAUAUAGUACUCUUUUUAUCCAUUCAUCCACUGAAGGACAUCUAGUUGAGUCCACAGUUUAGCUAUUAUGAAUUGUGUUGCUAUAAACAUUGAUGUGGCUGUGUCCCUGUAGUAUGCUGUUUAUAAGUCUUUUGGGUAUACACCCAGGAGAGGGAUAGCUAGUUCAAAUGGUGGUUCCAUUCCCAAUUUUCCAAGAAAUCUCCAUACUGUUUUCCAUAUUGGCUGCACCAAUUUGUAACACCACCAGCAGUAUAUGAGUAUACCUUUUUCCCCACAUCCUUGCCAACAUUUAUUGUUGCUUGUCUUCGUAAUAGCUGCCAUUCUGACUGGAGUGAGGUGAUAUCUUAGAGUAGUUUUGAUUUGCAUUUCUCUGAUUGCUAGAGAUGAUGAGCUUUUUUUUUUUAAUAUAUUUGUUGAUUGAUUGUAUAUCCUCUUCAGAGAAGAGUCUGUUCAGGUACUUUGCUAGUAAGGUCCUUCCUGCCCCACUAGAUCUAUAGUUUCAUCUUUUACCACUCUUUAAUUAACCCAUUUGCCAAACUGAACUCACACAGUUCUCUAAACAACAUGUAUUUUUUUCUACCUCUUUUCUUCAUGGAGCAUCUUUGUGGCCAGGCUUACCUUAUUCCUCCGUUCAUCUAUCAUCAGUCAGCUCAACGUCAUUUUCACCCAGUUUCAUUCAAACAACUACUUUUUGUCCUCCUGAUAUUGUCUAUGUCACACAUUCAGUUUUCCAGGUGGACCACACACUUC
rnacentral:lncRNA from 1 species